CCUUUGGCACUUAUUUGGUUUUCCACAAUGUAUGCUUCAUGUUUUGGCUGCUCGCAAUGUUUGGGGCUAUCUCGUUGUUAUGAUCAGUGACCUAUGCUCUUUUGUAAAGCUCUCUCUUGGAAGUCGCUUUGGAUAAAAGCGUCUUCUAAAUGCAUAAAUGUAAAUGUAAUAGAAGAGGAAUUUUGAAGGUUUUCCCAAAUUAUCACUGUACAGGAAAAUCCAUCAUGGCGGACCUUAUGGGUCCUUUAGGCUUUUUUGUUACCCAUGGGAAAUGAGGCAUGUACACCAAGUUUCAGAAGAAUUGGAGCAAUAAGGUGGAAAUGCCAUCACUUUGAAAAUCGGACUUUAGGGCGUGGCCUGUGGCGCCCCGUACAGUCUAAGGUGUCCCAUAUUUGGUGUGGGGGUACCCACUUGGAUGUAGGACUUUUUGAGAUAUUGGGGCGCAAGGAGAAGAAAAAUAAUAAUAAGAAUACCAACAAUAACAAUAGGUUCCC